UUAUCUGUCAUCAUCAUCUUUAUUCAUUUGUGUUUAUUAAUACGUAAAUACUCCGAAUGUGAUCGAGAAUUUCAUGCAUUUCUUCAACUUCUCUGGCAUUAAUGAUGAUCCAAUUCUAGAAACAUGCUAGUAGAAUUGUUAGAAAUAAUGAUACGGGCGGUUGGUCAUGUUUAUUUUCUUUCCAAAUUCGAUAAUUAAAUGAAUGGAAUGAAUAGCAAAUCUUGACUGUUGAAAGAAGCAUAGCAGAGAUGCGGACAUUAAGAGACUUUAAGAUAUAGAUAAAACUACGAAUGACCAUAUUCGUUAGAAAAUAUAGAGAAUCUCUAGUACUUUUUAAUUUAUUUUUAUUUUGUAUGAUGUUGGCCCAAGAUGAAUUUAAAUGGAGAAAGAUGGUCAGUAGGAUUCAUAUAGCUGACUCUAGUUUGUCUGUGACUGAGGUGUUGUUGUUUUUGUUGUUGUUGCCUUUGUGUAAUAUUGGAUUGAGAUACCAUGAGUGGAGUGACAUGGAUAGCGGAGAUUCAUAGAGUCGACCCCAACUUGUUUGAGCCUGAUGCAUAGUAGUUGUUGUUGUAAAAGAAACCGGUAAUCUUGUGUAGCGUUUCAUCGUUUCUUAUUUCAUUCAGUUAUUUUCUGAUAAUCGAAAUGGCACGUUCUGCAUCAGCUACGCAGUGAUUAUUGAAUGAAAGGAACUGAAUUUUUUUAGUGUGUGUAUUUUGUAUAAGUAAUUACAUGUCUAUGUAGGGGAGGAGGAUGAUCCCUAUAGAUUUGCCGAGAAUCAAAUUCUAGGGGAUACAUGCGAAUGCAUGAAGUAUCUUAAACAUUUAUUACUUUCUGCUUUUGCAAAAUCUAUCAUCAAUUAGCAAUAUGGCAACCUUAAACUUUAGAUUGUAAAGAAAAUGUAUGCUUAUUUUUUUCAAACAUUGACAAGGUUUUUAUGCAGGUUACAUAAUCGAUUAUUAACUUCUGUUGUUUCUUAUCUACUGCUUACUCAAAUUGUCACAUACAAGGAUCUAUGAUCAUUAUGCUUUAAUAUACUAAAUUGGUGUUUUAUUCUUUGUAAAAACUGUAUCUCUAUUUUAUAGAUGAUGUUCUGAAGUUCUAAUCUGGAAUUCAGAGGUAAAUUAGAAAAAUAUGCAGGGAGAAGGAGAUGGUAGAGACAAUUCUAACAACUCCAGUAGUCCGUUUGAUAGACUUCGAGGCAUGAUGUCCCGGAUUUUUGGAAGAAAAGAUCCAUCUGAUGACUCCUCCGUGACUUUUCCCCCUGACAACUCGUCAGAGUCGUCCAUGUUAUCUCAUAGAACUCCACCAGCUGAUUCAAAGCCAGCUGAUAAAUCAAAGGGGCCGGUCAUUAUAGAGCUAGAUACGGAUGAUGAGGGAGAUGUAGGGAGAGAAGCAGAAGAGGAAAAUUGUGGUGUUAAUGGUUCCAGAAUGAGUAAAGAAAAAGCUCAAACUAAUGCUUAUAGUAACGCAAAUCUACUCGUUGAGCACCCUGAUGACCAACCUGAUGAUCAUAACAAGAGCAAAAGCAUAAGCAAAGACGUGGCUCAUAGGUUGAAAGCGAAGAAAAAUGAAGGAGCAAAAGCCCAGACUCAAGAGUGUUAGCUAUUGAAGAGUAACAUAUGGUGGGAUAAAUGGGGCAUAUUACACUGCCACUACCACACGUAGGACGGGAAGCGAUGGAGGACACUCACUCACAAGGAAGCUUGAUUCUGAGGGCAAGGUGAACUCAGUGCAGACUUUGCAUAAUAUAGAAGAAGAUGAAUUAGCUAGAUUUGAACAGACUUGGAAAGGGAAUGCUGAUAAGCAUCUGCCCGGUUGGAACAAUGGGUUUGAUCUUCAUGCAAAUGCAGGAACAAGUAAUCAUUCGUUAACGAACUGGAAUCCUGGGUUUGGAAAUCCAUUUGGAGGUCUGAGACCAAAUAGCAAUAACCAGCCGGAGCCUUCACGUGGAAGACCAAAGAAGAUUGUCACAAUCAACAUAGAGUAAAUGUCCAUGCUGAUCAUUUGCUUAGAUGCAGAAUGUUCUCCACGACAUUUCAACAGCUUGAGCCAUGUCUUAUUGCAGGAGAGAAUCAAUAGCAGUUAGUGUUACCUUUCUGGGAAGGAAAUGUGUUGUUCUCGACGCCAGUCCCCCAUUUAGGAAUUUCUUCUUGUCAUGAUAUUAUAUCAGUAGUUAUAGUUCACUAUCGACUGAGAGAGUAAUAAGGCAAUUUAGCAAAAUGUUUAGCUUUUAUCCACUGACAUUGUAAGAUCAGUGGCGGAUCCAGGAUUUUAAUUCUAUGGGUUCAGCCUUUACGAAUUCUUAGUAUUGAACUUAUUAUAUUUUUAAAGUUAU